AUUUCUACACUGGAUAGUCUGGAAAUGGUGGCCUGUCUACAUUCCCACAAGAACUUCAUAUCAUAAGACAUAGUACUUGGCACCAUAUUUUUUAAUGUUUUGAAGCUCUAUAUUACAGUGUAUGACAUUCUGAAUAAACUCAGCCUUGUUUCCUUACCUGCUGUGAGAAAAAGUUUGCAUCCCAAGAAAAGCUGAUGUAGACGAGCACAUCACAAUAACUUCCAGCUCCAUACCUAUUCCCUGCUGCUGUUGAAACUAGCAGUCUUGCAUAUAAAUCACACUUCUCUUAUUACCCAGGAAUCUUUCAACUCCU
rnacentral:lncRNA from 1 species